AUAUAGAAAGAAUAUGAAAUGUGCAUUAUGCAAUCAUAGUGCUUUAUCUUGUGACAAUCUUAAGUUUGUCACAAACUGAAUCCUUACCCUCUUUAAUUGUCCUUUAAACAUAAAAAAAAAUACACCAGUUUUAUAUUAUUUUUUAUUUUCCUCUGCGUUCAAAGCCUUACUGUCUAUAAUAUGCCCCUCCAACAGGCUGGAAGGACUAAGCUCCUCCUUCUCCUCACUGUCCCUGCCCUGUCUUGACCCCGACCUCUGCCCAUGGCAAGUUUGGCAACCCUCACACCCAGGGGGUGCCAUCUGGCUCAGAGUGGCAGACACUGGAAGGCUGGGGGAGGAGAGAGGGGGAACAAUAAGGAGCACUUAUUGUGCUCUCCAUCAAAGCGCGGGUGGUGAGGCCUCCACCCUGGCUCCAGCCCUGGCCAAGUCGCUAGGCGCUGGCGAGCAGAUGGAACAAGUACAUCAAGCUGUGGGGGAUUAUUAAAAUGACUGACGAGUGGGUAUCACUCAAAUACAGCAUUAUUAAUGCAUGAGCCCGGCUAUUCUCGCCCGUGCCCUUGAACCUGUGCAUUUCAGAUGAAGCCCAGAGGUUUUUUAAAGGAUCAAAUGACUGGUCACCAGCAUUGGCUGGUUGCAUGGCAAAAAACACCUACAACUGCUGGUCACUGCAUUACUCUCUCAGGUCUAAUUGGUACAGAUGGCUCUUAAGUACUUUUUUAUUUUCCUUGACCCAUUCGGAGCUGGCUAUUAUUGUGUUGUAUUGUGUUUGAAAGCAUUUAUCUUAAGUCUUAGAAGUUUUUAAGCACCUCAUUAUUAAUUUACAUUUCAUUUAAAAAUGUUUUGGUUGGUUGGCUAGUUUCGUUGUUGUUAUUGCUAUUUUUAGGUACAAUGCUUUUUUCUAGGAUUGACUCCCAUACACAAACUUUAAACUGAUUUUCCUCCAGGUCAACAUUUUUAAGCUGUGUGCUGGUUGAUUUGUAUGUAUUUUUAUUUGUACAUAUGUUUAUGACCAUGCCAAACCAAUUCAGUGGGCUGGUAAAAAAAAAAAGGACUCUCGAUGGGACUGAAACUUGACUGCGCUUGUAAAAAUAGAAAAGAAAAAAAUGCUUAAAUCUCGCAAGGAGACAAGGUUUCAUAAGUGUUAUAAGCACUGGAUAUAAAUUGUAUUUUUGUCGAUUCUGACUAAUGUGAAACCCAGAAUGAACAAAAGUCAGUUGUGGGCUAGUUCUCACAGUUACCAGAUUUGAGUCAUUUUUCUGUCUACUUGUUUCGUUUAUUUAUGCAAAGACACGUUUAAUGAAUGAACACUUUGUCUAAGCUCCAGGGCCGCCAAGGGGAGAGACAGUGUGCAAGAUAGAUAUUGAGCAGUUAACUCGACAGAAGGCUUGCAUAGUAACUGGUUAGCUGAGAAAUACCGGACUUCAGAAACGCAUUUUAUUGGUUCACAUGUUUUGUGUUGUAUAUUGUAUUUGAAGCUUUAUAGUGAGUAUAGACAUGUUAUUGUAUUUAUUAGCCACCGUUGGCUCUAAAAUUGUCAGUAGAACAUAAUGACAGGACAAUCAGAGAGACAGAAUAAAACAGAUGUUUAAUGAAUUGGAAGUCAAAAAUGUUUGUUUUCAAUAAAAUGCUUAUAGAUUUUAUUGUAAAUAUAACAUAGGAAAUAUAAUUAUAUUUUUGUUCAUGAGUACGUAGUGAUAUAAGUUAUGUAUUUUGUCUGUUUCUUUUUUCUUUCAAUCAGUGUAUGCUGAUCCAUGUUCUUAAAACUGACAAGUCACUGUACCUCAAGUAGAUGAGGAAUAUUUCUCCCAGUAGAAAAAGAUCAGUAUUGGACAGAACUGUAGCAGAGACAGACAGACAGGCACCUGACUUGAUAGCAUAUUAAUGACCUCCCUCAGAUAAUUCAUUGAGCUUCAAUAAUCAGUUAAAUUUAAGGAGCCUUUAAAAAAAUAUAUCAUCCAUUAUAUAAUUACAUGCACAUUUAGCACAGUUAAGGUGCUCUGUAUCUUUAAUAAGGACAAUUGCUUAAAAUUCAUUUGAACAAAAAGCACUUAACAUGUAUGUUUUUAUUAUACUUGUGUGUGCAAACAUGACCCUAACAAUGUGUUAUGUGUUUGUCACAGAUCUCAGUGGUUAUACUGUCAUGUGCCAUAUAUUUCCUGAGGGGGGUUGAUAGUAGCAUAAAUUAAGUUUUGUUGUAAAGGCAAAUCUGCAUGCAUUGUUGCAUUUACAAUUAGAAUAAACUAAAAAGGAUUCUAUUAAUCAGCAAUGUUUUGUUAAAAACACUAGUAUGUUUCUUGGUAAGCUGAAAUUGGAGGGAGUGUGCAAGUAUGUAUUUGUUUUGAUGUGGCACAAUGCCAAGCUACUAGUGGUCAUUCUAGGUCCUCUUCUAUGUGUUGCUGGUUCUUUUUUAAGCUAGCCCAUUCAGCCAUCAGCAAACUUUUGUCAUGACAUUUUUUUUAUUAAUCCAUCUGUGUCUAAGCCAUGUAAAUGCAAACAAGAUUUGACAACUGAGGACAGUGUGUAUGAUGUUUCACACAACUUACUGUAAUUCUUAUUUCUGUCAUUUAACUUUUUGAUGUAUAUGGUGAGAAUGUUCUCUGUGUUAAUUUAAUCAGCACAAUUCACUGACAUGCUGGACUGACAUGCUAGCUGCUGUUCAGGAGUGUACAAUAUGCUGUUGGGGACAACUUAUAUAGUUGUGAAUGGUACUUUGCUUUGUGUGCUGUGUGUGGCUCUUCUGUUGUUGGGGCCAUUGCUGUUUUGAAACCGCUGGCAUCCUGAUACAGUUUUCUGCAUUGAAAUCUAUUUCUUGGCAGGUAUAGGCAGGUUUUGUUUGGGGGUAACUAGAGAAAAUUAAAUAGUGUCUGUUGCUGCUUUGAAAAAAAGUUUUAAUUCUGAAAAUGUAAAUAGUUUAUCAUAAUAUCUUGUACAGUCCACUGUAAAGUUUUUAAUUGAACUUAAAAAAAGGUUGCCGUCACAUUUGUGUUCACAUUCUUUAUACAGUAAAAAAAAGGAAAGCUAUUUGCUAAGGAUAUUAUUGUUAAAAUAAAAAAAGGAAAAAGGUACUAAAAUGUUCUUUUGCUUGGCUUUAAAAUGUAAACCAGCAAGUCUUUGGUUUCCAUGUGCAGUAUUGACGUGAGGUAAACUUAAGGUGAAAUCAUUCUACAGUGGUACUGUAUGUAUUGGAGAGCAGUCUCCUCUGUUUUGGUAGUAUUAAUACAGUAUAUCAAAGAUACACCAGGUAAGUGACACAUUUGGGUGUAUCUAGGCACCUUAGUAAUGUGCAUCUAGGUUGUUUUUCCCCACAGGAUGCAUUCAGGCAUAUUGUAACGUAACAUCAUCUUUCUAUAUGUACUCAAUCAAUUUAUGUAUCAAGGCAGGAGUGGGUUGUAUAACUGCCUAUUUAAGCUAAUUUACCUCAAGUCUCCUCCUUUUCCGUAAAAGAGUAAGAAAUUGUGUGACAAAAAGUCUCACCAUCACUCCAUCUUUUGUACUGCUGUUGACACUUACAAAUUAA
ensembl:lncRNA